CGUGUAGGCGGACGAUCGAGUUAGUGGUGAAAGGCUUGGGCUUAACCUGAGACGUGCCAUUGAUACUGAUUGUCUGGAGUAUCAGAGAGGAUGACGGAAUAUCCAGUGUAGAGGUGAAAUUCGUAGAUAUUGGAUAGAAUACCGGUGGCGAAGGCGGUUAUCUGGCUGAUUACUGACGCUGAGGCGCGAGAGCGUGGGGAGCAAACA
rnacentral:rRNA from 1 species